GCGCACAAUGGAUCAGCUCUUUGCUGGAUAUCCAUGCUCAGUCAUUGUUGAUGACAUCAUCAUCGGAUGCCGGGAUGUGGCGGAGCACGAAACCAACCUAAAAAAAGUGGUUGAACGUGUGAAAGAAAUUAACUCUAACUCAACCCACAGAAAUGCAAGUUUCGACUUGACCAAGUAUGCUACGUUGGUCAUAUCUUCACAAGUAAAGGUUUGAAAGCUGACCCCUCCAAAACUGCUGCCAUUACAGACAUACAAGUCUCUACAGAUGUCACUUCACUUCAACGCUUCCUGGGAAUGGUCAACUAUCUUGGCAAGUACAUUCCAAACCCCAGUGACAUCGCAACACCAAUGAGGAAGCUGACUCACAAAGAGACCGCAUGGUGCUGGUUUCAACAACACCAAGAUGCUUGCCACCGCCUGAAAGCAUGUUUCUCCUUUCCACCAUUAUUGGUCUACUACGAUGUCAAAGAGCCAGUCACGCUGACCUGUGACGCGUCAUGCUAUGGACUAGGAGCUGCUUGCAUGCAAAAUGGAAGGUCAGUAGCCUUUGCAUCCCGCACCCUUACAGAAACAGAAACCUGAUACGCUCAAAUUGAGAAGGAGCGUCUAGCUGUUGUGUUUGCAUGCACCAAGUUCAGAGACUAUGUGUAUGGAUAGCCCACCAUAGUAGAAAGUGACCACCAACCUUUGGUGUCUAUCUUAAAGAAACCAAUUCACGAUGCCCCUGCCAGUCUUCAGAGGAUGCUGCUACGCCUGCAAAGCUAUGACAUAAGCUUAGACUACAAAAAAGGAAAGCACAUGUACUUAGCUGACACUCUUUAAAGAGCCCCUAAUGCAACAGACAGUGAGAGUCCAUCUAAAAGUGGUUCUUUCGACGCCAUGUCAGUAAACUACAUUUCUACAGUCCGCCUGGAAGAGCUCAAGAACCACACGGAGGAGGAUGAAGUAUUGCAGACUCUCAGUGCAGUUAUCCAGCGUGGAUGGCCUGCCAUUGAAGUUUUCUUCCCCUACAGAGACCAACUCACUGUGGAAGAUGGAAUUGUCAUGAAAGGGCAGAAAGCAGUCAUUCUACGGUCACUACAAAAAGAGUACAUUAAGAUUGCACACAAAGGUCACCCGGGCAUUGAAGCGACCAAACCCAGAGCAAGAGGUAUCAUCGUUUUGGCCGUCAAUGUCACGAGACUUAACUGAAGAAAUACUUUCUUGCACAGUGUGCAACAGCACAAAACCACAUCAGCAGAAAGAACCGUUUCAUCUACAUCCAGUUCCAGACCUUCUGUGGCCCACAGUUGCUACAGCCAUUUUGGAAUGGCGUGGACAACACUACCAGGUGCUAGUGGAUUCCUAUUCUGGAUGGUUUGAAGUUGACCUUCUACGAAACAUCACCGCAACAGCUGUAAUUUCCAAAUUGAAAAUACAUUUUUCAUUGCAUGGUACACCACACACACUGCUAUCUGACAAUGCAAGAUAGUACAAGUGUGAGCAAUUCAAGAAGUUUGCUGAGGAAUGGGACUUCAUCCACACCACCAGCAGCCCAGAGUUUCCCCAGUUGAAUGGACUCACGGAAAGAGCUGUCAGAAGUGCCAAGCAACUGAUGGAGAAAUCCCACCGGGACAAAACUGAUAUCUUCCUAAACCUCCCAGCAGCCCAGAGUUUCCCCAGUUGAAUGGACUCACGGAAAGAGCUGUCAGGAGUGCCAAGCAACUGAUGGAGAAAUCCCACCGGGACAAAACUGAUAUCUUCCUAAACCUCCUUAACCUCAGAAACAUUCCCCGAGAUGCAGACCUUGGUUCCCCUGCCGAACGUUUAAUGUCAAGACAAACGCGUGCAGCUAUCCCAGUGUGUACCAGACUACUACAGCCAACAGCAAAAGACUUAAGACAAGUACACGCUCGACUAGUCAACAAGAUAACUACGGUGAAACAUCACUACGCCAAGUCAAGUCUCCAACUGAGUCCCUUGGCAGAAGGGUAAGUGGUCGAAGUGGUAUGCAGACUCCUGCUGGGCAUGACCGACUUGGAAUAGUGGAAAAGUCGUGCGAAGAGCCACGUUCCAACAUCAUCCAGUCCGAUGGGAGAAGAUACAGGAGGAAUCGUCGCCACAUCCUCCCGGUUCAAGAAUGGACACCAACACGGUUACAAAACGACGAAGCAGACUCUCAAGGUAUGGUGGACAUACCGUGGUGGACUUAGUCCCUCCCACACCACUGAGAGAAGAGACAGUGAUUAUGCAAACGGAAAGUGCAUCACCAAUUCGACCUAGAUUCAGGACGCAGACUGACAGCUUACACAACACGUGCAGGUCGAGUUUGUAGACCCAAUCCAAAGAAUGUGCAGUAAGAAAAGAAAAAUGCACAUGUGGUGUAAGUUGAGAGAGAUAGUACUUUUUCUAGCUGCUCUGUUAUGUGUUUAGAUAUUUCAUACAAAUAGUGAGUUGUUUGUACUCACCAUACACAGUUAAGAGAUUUGCGUUCAGUUAAAUAUAGAUAUUCAUUUCACUUAUUUACUUUUGUUUUUUUUUAGAAGGACUCUUAACGAAAGGGAAGGAUGUAGAUCAUUUGGUAAAAUGAUUGUUUUGUUGUUGUAGUUUUGGAACACACCACCAGGGUGUGCCCAAUAAGAAAUCAGUGAUUACCCCUCUCUAUGCAGUGCGUGUAUACAAUUGCUGUCCUCCAAAGUCUUAAUUAAAGCCAAGUUCUUCAUGCAGCUCAGCAUGGUUUUUCCUACAGGACCUCAAAGGACUUGACAAAGACUGGGAUCAGAAGACACAUCUGGACAAGGAAAACCUCCCAAAGCAUGAACUGCUUCCUCGCCACCACCACCAAGCACACCUGCACAUGGAGCUGUGCUAGCCACAUGCUAGGCUAACAGAAAGAGGAGGUCACCUUGGCGAAGCGGCGGUGGUACUGAGCUAGCACGGCACCAUCGGGACAGUCCAGCUUGCGGAUGAUGUCAAAGCUCUGGUUGAGCUGCGUGAAGAUGUCCACCACCGAGCUGGAGAAGAGAGCGUGCUCUGAUGUGGACUGGAACUGUCGGAGAAGAAAAAUAAAAAAUAGAAUACAAAAAAGGAAAAAAAUAUGAGUCAACUUACUCCUUCUCUCUUGUCUCUUUCCAGUGCAGCAUGCAUGAAGUCCAUGGAAACAUCUUCGUUCUCCUUCAGCCAGCUCAGCACAAACGGCAGAAACCAUCUAAAAGAACCACAAUAAGGUGAAACAGAUCUAAAUGAUCUAGGAGUACCACCAGAAAGUGAAACAGAUCCAUUUGACCUAGAAGAACCACCAGAAGGUGAAACAGAUCCAUAUGAUCUAGAAGAACCACAAGAAGGUGAAACAGAUCCAUAUGAUCUACAAGAACCACCACAAGGUAAAACAGAGCCAUAUGAUCUACAAGAACCACAAGGUGAAACGGAUCCAGAUUAUCUAGAAAAAUCACGAGAAGGUGAAACAUUCUUAUGAUCUAGAACAGAUCCAUAUGAUCUAGAACAGGGGUCACCAACGCGGUGCCCGCGGGCACCAGGUAGCCUGUAAGGACCAGAUGAGUCGCCCGCUGGCCUGUUCUAAAAAUAGCUCAAAUAGCAGCACUUACCAGUGAGCUGCCUCUAUUUUUUUAAAUUGUAUUUAUUUAUUAGCAAGCUGGUCUCGCUUUGGUCGACAUUUUUAAUUCUAAGAGAGACAAAACUC